rnacentral:rRNA from 1 species
GGGAAAGGAUUGGCCCGCGUUAGAUUAGAUAGUUGGUGGGGUAAUGGCCUACCAAGUCUACGAUCUAUAGCUGGUUAUAGAGGAUGAUCAGCAACACUGGGACUGAGACACGGCCCAGACUCCUACGGGAGGCAGCAGUGGGGAAUCUUAGACAAUGGGCGCAAGCCUGAUCUAGCCAUGCCGCGUGUGUGAUCGAAGGUCUUAGGAUCGUAAAGCACUUUCGCCAGGGAUGAUAAUGACAGUACCUGGUGCAGAAACCCCUAAG